rnacentral:rRNA from 1 species
GACGAACGCUGGCGGCGUGCUUAACACAUGCCAGUCGAACGCUGAAGCUCAGCUUUUGUUGGGUGGAUGAGUGGCGAACGGGUGAGUAACACGUGAGUAACCUGCCUCCUUCUUUGGGAUAACGCCCGGAAACGGGUGCUAAUACUGGAUAUUCACUGGUCUUCGCAUGGGGGUUGGUGGAAAGGGUUUUUCUGGUGGGGGAUGGGCUCGCGGCCUAUCAGCUUGUUGGUGGGGUGAUGGCCUACCAAGGCUUUGACGGGUAGCCGGCCUGAGAGGGUGACCGGUCACAUUGGGACUGAGAUACGGCCCAGACUCCUACGGGAGGCAGCAGUGGGGAAUAUUGCACAAUGGGCGCAAGCCUGAUGCAGCGACGCCGCGUGAGGGAUGGAGGCCUUCGGGUUGUGAACCUCUUUCGCUCAUGGUCAAGCCGCAACAAUGGUUGUGGUGAGGGUAGUGGGUAAAGAAGCGCCGGCUAACUACGUG